CAGGACAUGCAAUCAGGUUUUAGAGGAAUUGAUGCGAAACUGCAUGAAGGGUUUAAAAGAAUGCAAGAGGUACUGAGUGAAUUGGUUCAAAGCAAAACAGUCAACGUACCAGAAUCAAGACUUUAUGUCAACAUACGGACUGAACAUGGGGAAGAACUUGUGUCAGAUUUACUGGUGCAAUCCGCCAAUGAAAUAAGAGAGGGAAGAAGCCUAACUGACCUGCAGAAACUUCUUGACCAAGCAUUUAAUGUGUGGU